ACGGGGGAAGAAUGCCAGCAUGGAAGGAGAGCGCUCCGCAAUUAGGAAAGCAAGAGUAUCUCUGGUUGGUUGACUGGGGAGAGUGGGAGUAAUUGCUUGUCAUUGCCUUCCUAUGAGUUUUAUGAACCUGUUUGCAAAAUACUUGGUUUCCUUGGACUCUUUGUUCUCCUCCAUAUCCAUAACCCCUUGUGGCCUCUCCAGGCUAGUUCUGUCUCUGUUCAUUUGUGUUCUGAACGGCUAUGUAACCCACAUGUGUGACGGCCUCCUUAGGGACACCCUGGGAUCAUUACCAGCCUAUCCUAAGCGAUACUAAUCACUUGAUUGUCAGCUUCUAUUUGAUGGGGCAGGGGGCAGGACACUGGCAGACUUCAAAGCUGCCUGUCUGCGCUGACUUCCGGUAGUUUAGUGUGAGAAGUGAGAUGGCCCUGACUACUUUUCUAUUUUGGUUAAGGUACAUAUUUGAUGAAAUUCAUGAAUGUGGAUUGCUAUCUCUCCCCCACUCAUUUAGUCAAUAAAUAUCUUAGGUCUGGGGUACAGCAAACACAACUGAUGGAGCCUUUGUUCUAAUGGACCGUACCUUCUGAUGGGAGCCACACAAUGCACAUGUGUAAGUGUAUGUCCAGUACUGUGUUCUAUGAAGGACAGUGCAAGCGCAGAGGAAGAGGGAGGGAGGGAUGCAUUCUCGUGAUCAGGGAGUCAGUAGCUAAGAUCUUAAAGGAGUUGGGGAUUGAGAGGGAGAAAAUGGGAACAGCUCCUUCAGACAGAAGCCAGAGUCUGUCUGGUGGGUUAAAGGGGCAUCAAGAUGGUGGCACAUGAAGCAAAGGAGCAUGGGAGGAGCUGAGGUCACAGAUGGCACAUGGAGCAAAGGAGCAUGGGAGGAGCUGAGGUCACAAAUGGCACAUGGAGCAAAGGAGCAUGGGAGGAGCUGAGGUCACAAAUGGCACAUGGAGCAAAGGAGCAUGGGAAGAGCUGAGGUCACAAAUGGCACAUGGAGCAAAGGAGCAUGGGAGGAGCUGAGGUCACAAACAGCACAUGGAGCAAAGGAGUAUGAAAAGAGAUGAAACCACAAAAUUGGCUCCUAUUUUAUCACCUAGGACUUCCUAAACCCUGGGAAAGAAUAUGGGUCCUUCUGGAGCUUGUUGAACAUUGGCCUGAAUUUAUUUUUAUCAUACACACACACACACACACACAC